GCCCACCUAGCUCAGUAGGUAGAGCAUGAGAAUCUUAAUCCCAGGGUCCUAGGUUCGAGCCCCAUGUUGGGCA
rnacentral:tRNA from 1 species